rnacentral:rRNA from 1 species
GUUUAUCAAAAACAUGUCUUUUAGAAUUUAAUUUAAAGUCUAACCUGCCCACUGAGAUAUUUUAAAUGGCCGCAGUAUUUUAACUGUGCAAAGGUAGCAUAAUCAUUAGUCUUUUAAUUGAAGGCUGGAAUGAAUGGUUGGAUGAAAUAUUAACUGUUUCAUAGAAAUUAAUAAUAGAAUUUUAUUUUUUAGUUAAAAAGCUAAAAUAAAAUUAAAAGACGAGAAGACCCUAUAAAUCUUUAUAUUUUAUUGGGGUGAUAUUAAAAUUUAAUAAACUUUUAAUUUUUAUUUUACAUAAAUUAAUGAUUUAGUGAUCCGUUAUUAACGAUUAAAAAUUUAAGUUACUUUAGGGAUAACAGCGUAAUUUUUUUAGAGAGUUCAUAUUGAUAAAAAAGAUUGCGACCUCGAUGU